GACGAACGCUGGCGGCGUGCUUAACACAUGCAAGUCGAACGAUGAACCGAGAGCUUGCUCUUGGGGAUUAGUAGCGAACGGGUGAGUAACACGUGAGGAACCUGCCCCAGACUCUGGAAUAACCCCGGGAAACCGGAGCUAAUACCGGAUAUGACAUCAGGCCGCACGGUCAUGGUGUGGAAAGUUUUUCGGUCUGGGAUGGCCUCGCGGCCUAUCAGCUUGUUGGUGAGGUAGUGGCUCACCAAGGCGACGACGGGUAGCCGGCCUGAGAGGGCGACCGGCCACACUGGGACUGAGACACGGCCCAGACUCCUACGGGAGGCAGCAGUGGGGAAUAUUGCACAAUGGGCGAAAGCCUGAUGCAGCGACGCCGCGUGAGGGAUGACGGCCUUCGGGUUGUAAACCUCUUUCAGUAGGGAAGAAGCGCAAGUGACGGUACCUACAGAAGAAGCACCGGCUAACUACGUGCCAGCAGCCGCGGUAAAAC
rnacentral:rRNA from 1 species